CAAGCUCGAAUGUCUUGAACAAAUGGAUGCACAGAAAUAAGAGGCGCUCCAGCAUUCAAUGAUGUUAUAUAGCUGAGAAGUCCCAUUCUGAUGUGUGCAGCAUGCCAAUGAGAUAUCAAAUUCAGAAACCACCGAUUGGAUAGAAGCCUAGAACUUGGAACGCAAGUUUCCCUACAUGACAAGAAACGACCCAUCGGUUGGAGGCCUGGAACUUGGGCCACAAGUUUCCCUGCUUAGAGAACAAGACAAUCAACCAUCAUGCAGAGGGUGAAAAGGAACAUUGUUGUUGCAAAGUACCAAAUGUAGCCGUUGUUAGUCUCGUGGCCUGUGACUUCAAUGCACGUUGAGACGACUGGUUACGUACUCAUGAACUGAAGAUGCUGGAGUAAUCAACAGAGAUUUGUUUGGCAAGCUUCCCUGCUCUCUGAAAAGAUAAUUAGUUAAGGUGUCUGCUAUGACCUAUGAAACAACUCGCUGUUGUUUUGUUCAUGGCCUUGCUAUCUAAUUUUCACUGUUUUAGUCGGGUUUUUUUUAUGAAGAAAAUGCUUGUUUCUCACCUUCUUGGUGUAUUGGAUUAUUACAUAGAAAAGAAAACAUUCACAGGAGUUUAUC